UUGAUGUGAUUAUCUCGGAGUGGAUGGGAUACUUCCUUCUGCGUGAGUCCAUGUUUGAUUCUGUGAUUUGUGCUCGUGACCGUUGGUUGAAGCCCACCGGUGUCAUGUAUCCUAGUCAUGCUCGCAUGUGGUUUGCACCUAUCAAAUCCAACAUGGCAGAUCCGAAGAAGAAUGAUUUGGAUGGGGCAAUUGCGGAUUGGGAUAACUUUUCAGAUGAGAUCAAAACCUACUACGGCAUUGAUCUAGAGCGUUUUAACAAAGCCUUUUGCUGAAGAGCAAGAAAAGUAUUACAUACAAACGGAAAUGUGGAAUGACUUGAAUCCACUUCAAGUGAUAGGUACACCUACAAUUGUCAAAGAGAUGGAUUGUUUGACAGCUACCGUCAGUGAGAUCGAGGAAGUCAGAUCUAAUGUAACGUCAGUCAUCAAUGGACAGAACACAAGGCUAUGUGGUUUUGGUGGAUGGUUUGAUGUUCACUUCCGGGUUAGUUCAUUUACAUAUUCUUUGUGUUGGCGUCACAUUAUGUGUUGUUUUAGUGGAUGGUUUUGUGUUCGUGUUUACUUGUGACAACAUAAACGACAAGAGCAUGUUUUCUUUAUAAACUUGUGACAACGUAAAAGAAGAACUUGUAUAAAUUUUUUCAAACGACAAGAGCAUGCUUUUAUUUUAAA